AUUGAACGCUGGCGGCAGGCCUAACACAUGCAAGUCGAACGGUAGCACAGAGAGCUUGCUCUCGGGUGACGAGUGGCGGACGGGUGAGUAACGUCUGGGAAACUGCCCGAUGGAGGGGGAUAACUACUGGAAGCGGUAGCUAAUACCGCAUAACGUCGCAAGACCAAAGUGGGGGACCUUCGGGCCUCACACCAUCGGAUGUGCCCAGAUGGGAUUAGCUAGUAGGUGGGGUAAUGGCUCACCUAGGCGACGAUCCCUAGCUGGUCUGGGAGGAUGACCAGCCACACUGGAACUGAGACACGGUCCAGACUCCUACGGGAGGCAGCAGUGGGGAAUAUUGCACAAUGGGCGCAAGCCUGAUGCAGCCAUGCCGCGUGUAUGAAGGAGGCCUUCGGGUUGUAAAGUACUUUCAGCGGGGAGGAAGGCGGUGAAGUUAAUAACUUCACCGAUUGACGUUACCCGCAGAAGAAGCACCGGCUAACUCCGUGCCAGCCGCCGCCGUAA
rnacentral:rRNA from 1 species